GGUCAAGCUAAUAAGAGCUGACGGUGGAUACCUAGGCACACAGAGGCGA
rnacentral:rRNA from 1 species